rnacentral:rRNA from 1 species
GACGAACGCUGGCGGCGUGCUUAACACAUGCAAGUCGAACGAAGUGGCGAAUGGGUGAGUAACGCGUAAUCAACCUGCCCUUCAGAGGGGGACAACAGUUGGAAACGACUGAUAAUACCGCAUACUGAAGGAGGGGAUUGCGUCGGAUUAGCUAGUUGGAGGGGCAAAGGCCCACCAAGGCGAUGAUCAGUAGCCGGUCUGAGAGGAGGAACGGCCAAAUUGGGACUGAGAACCGGCCCAGACUCCUACGGGAGGCAGCAGUGGGGAAUCUUCCGCAAGGGGCGAAAGUCUGACGGAGCAACGCCGGGUGAGUGGUGACGGCCUUCGGGUUGUAAAGGUCUGUUAAUCGGGACGCGGUACCGGAAUAGGAAGCCACGGCUAACUACGUGCCAGCAGCCGCGGUAAUAC